rnacentral:rRNA from 1 species
UACGGGGGGAGCAAGCGUUGUUCGGAUUUACUGGGCGUAAAGGGCGCGUAGGCGGUCGUGACAAGUCACUUGUGAAAUCUCCGGGCUUAACUCGGAACGGUCAAGUGAUACUGUCGGACUAGAGUACAGAAGGGGCAACUGGAAUUCUCGGUGUAGCGGUGAAAUGCGUAGAUAUCGAGAGGAACACCUGCGGCGAAGGCGGGUUGCUGGGCUGAUACUGACGCUGAGGCGCGAAAGCUAGGGGAGCGAACAGG